AUGAAUUCCGUCCUCAACAAUAUCGUUCUAGACAUAUUGUCAUUCUUUCACUUACUGAAAGGGGUUCUUCAGUGUCUGGAUUACUUUAGAUCUAGAUUUUUUUUGCAAUGUGAUAAUGAAUCCAAGAAAUAUCGGCUGGCUAGGUGGACUAUAUUAUGCCGCCCUAAAAGUCGGGUGGGCCUUGGAAUUCAAGAUCUUGAGAUUAAAGACACCACUCUUCUAAAUAAAUGGGUAUACAAAUUACUCAUUGAGAAUAGAGUGCGGCUGGAAAUCAUUCGUAACAAAUACGUGGGGUCCAAAGCCAUUUUUCAAGUUCAUUGGAAACCUGGUGAUUCACAUUUUUGGUAUGGUGUCGUGAAGGCCAAGGAAUUAUUUUUUCAAUUUGGUACUUUCUUAGUUAGGGAUGGUUCUCAGGUUCGAUUUUGGGAAGAUACCUGGCUAGGCGCCACCCCACUUAUGCUAUAG
rnacentral:rRNA from 1 species